rnacentral:rRNA from 1 species
AAUAGAUACCCAGGUAGUCCACGCCGUAAACGAUGAGUGCUAAGUGUUAGAGGGUUUCCGCCCUUUAGUGCUGCAGCUAACGCAUUAAGCACUCCGCCUGGGGAGUACGGUCGCAAGACUGAAACUCAAAGGAAUUGACGGGGGCCCGCACAAGCGGUGGAGCAUGUGGUUUAAUUCGAAGCAACGCGAAGAACCUUACCAGGUCUUGACAUCCUCUGACAACUCUAGAGAUAGAGCGUUCCCCUUCGGGGGACAGAGUGACAGGUGGUGCAUGGUUGUCGUCAGCUCGUGUCGUGAGAUGUUGGGUUAAGUCCCGCAACGAGCGCAACCCUUGAUCUUAGUUGCCAGCAUUCAGUUGGGCACUCUAAGGUGACUGCCGGUGACAAACCGGAGGAAGGUGGGGAUGACGUCAAAUCAUCAUGCCCCUUAUGACCUGGGCUACACACGUGCUACAAUGGAUGGUACAAAGGGCUGCAAGACCGCGAGGUCAAGCCAAUCCCAUAAAACCAUUCUCAGUUCGGAUUG